GUCCCUGUAGCUCAGUUGGUAGAGCAUGGUGUUUGCAACACAAGGGUUGUGGGUUUAAUUCCCACAGGUGGCC
rfam:Salmo salar isolate Sally breed double haploid chromosome ssa12, whole genome shotgun sequence.